rnacentral:rRNA from 1 species
UCCAGACUCCUACGGGAGGCAGCAGUGGGGAAUAUUGCACAAUGGGGGAAACCCUGAUGCAGCGACGCCGCGUGAGUGAAGAAGUAAUUCGUUAUGUAAAGCUCUAUCAGCAGGGAAGAAAAUGACGGUACCUGAGUAAGAAGCCCCGGCUAACUACGUGCCAGCAGCCGCGGUAAUACGUAGGGGGCGAGCGUUAUCCGGAUUCACUGGGUGUAAAGGGAGCGUAGACGGCCAUGCAAGCCAGGGGUGAAAGCCCGGGGCCCAACCCCGGGACUGCCCUUGGAACUGUGCGGCUAGAGUGCGGGAGGGGCAGGCGGAAUUCCUGGUGUAGCGGUGAAAUGCGUAGAUAUCAGGAGGAACACCAGUGGCGAAGGCGGCUUACUGGACUGUAACUGACGUUGAGGCUCGAAAGCGUGGGGAGCAAACAGGAUUAGAUACCCUUGUACCC